AUCCAGCUGAUGAGUCCAAAAAUAGGACGAAACGCGAGUCCUGGAU
rfam:Schistosoma haematobium scaffold514_10, whole genome shotgun sequence.